GAUGAGCGCUGGCGGCGUGCUUAACACAUGCAAGUCGAACGAAGCACUUUAUUUGAUUUCCUUCGGGACUGAUUAUUUUGUGACUGAGUGGCGGACGGGUGAGUAACGCGUGGGUAACCUGCCUUGUACAGGGGGAUAACAGUUGGAAACGGCUGCUAAUACCGCAUAAGCGCACGGCAUCGCAUGAUGCAGUGUGAAAAACUCCGGUGGUAUAAGAUGGACCCGCGUUGGAUUAGCUAGUUGGUGAGGUAACGGCCCACCAAGGCGACGAUCCAUAGCCGACCUGAGAGGGUGACCGGCCACAUUGGGACUGAGACACGGCCCAAACUCCUACGGGAGGCAGCAGUGGGGAAUAUUGCACAAUGGGCGAAAGCCUGAUGCAGCGACGCCGCGUGAGCGAAGAAGUAUUUCGGUAUGUAAAGCUCUAUCAGCAGGGAAGAUAAUGACGGUACCUGACUAAGAAGCACCGGCUAAAUACGUG
rnacentral:rRNA from 1 species